GAUAGAUACAAGAGCUGCACGAUCGUAUGGCUCGAAAAGGAUGGUUUGAAGGCCAAGACGAGAUUUGAUCUUGGCCGCGAGCUGUUGAGUCGGCCAGUUGAAAAAGUUGUAGACCACGUCUUGUUUAGACGUGAGCAGCUGAUCGAGCUCAUCCAUGAGGACAACGCUGGCCUCUCGCUCCACUACCCUUUUUACCGAAAUGUCUCUCCAAUCCCUUCAAAGCCGUCUUCGCGCCGACACCUUUUGAACUACUGAUAGCCUCCCACAGGACACUGUAAGCAUGUUGAGGAGUGGGGAUUUUAAGGCCAUUAAUUUCUACGUAUGAGAACGGUGGGAUCUCGCCGUCUUCAGCUUUACGUUUUAGUUCUUUAACCACGGCGUGGACCGUGGCAGUUUUGCCCGUUCCGGGGACACCUGCGAUAUCUGCAAAGCAGACCUCCUCCACCACUUUCUACACCUUCUUCAACUUUGCUGAGGACGUCGACAAAUUCUUCUUCGCGACAAGGUAGGCUUUCGGGUGUUGCACCAACGUGAAGCAUCCGUAAAGCUCUUUCGAAAGGAUCUGUGGGUAAUAAUUCCGGGGCGAUAAAAUCGCCUCGGUAAUGCGACUUUUCUUCUGGAUAUUUCUCGCGGAAUUCGGUUCGAGAUAAUACAGGGACUGUAUCGUCGAGUAGGCUGAUUGGUAUAGUAGCUGUUACCCGGCGAGUGGAUGACGCAGUAAGUAAAACUUCAUUCUGGUGUCAUGAUCAGUCAGACUUUGCUACCUCGAAUUUUGAUAAAAUCGACGUACAUCAUCAACUUUGAAAUUCCUUCUGACAUCGGGUAAGUCCCGCCUUCUCAGAAGCCAGUGUACUUCUGCCAUCAUUAAAGGACCGUGUUCUUCUUCUACUUCAUCUCCGUCUUCUUCAUCCUCCUCAUCAUCAUCUUCAGAUCGUUCUUCUUCCCAUAAAUCGAUCAAAACUGCCACACCAUCAUUGCCACCCUCAACGCUGACCAACACUCCAUCUCCUACGGAGAAUUUUGUCAUUUUGGGUGCAGCAUUCUUCUUUCCACCUUUGGUGAAGACCUUUGAGAAUGCUGUAUAGUGCGUGCGGGUUUUCGAUCCACCAGGAGAUAGCCUCGGUGUUGAUGCAGCGGACAGCCAGGUAUAUUUUGUGUCUGGAUGUGAUAUGCGGGGUGUUGGGAACGGAGAAGGGGUGAAGACUUGGCUUCGAGUGGACCUUCGAGGAGUAAAUGGGAUAGUCAUGGACCAGAGAAGUGAUGUCGAAAAAAAGGAGACGAAAAGUGGUUGUUUGCGUUUGUAUAGAAAUAAAUACAGUAUUGAGCAACAGUGAACGAACA
rnacentral:sRNA from 1 species